GAGGGAUCAUUACAGAGUUGCAAAACUCCCAAACCAUCGUGAACGUUACCUACAUCGUUGCUUCGGCGGGUGGCGGGCUUCGGCCCUGCCCUCGGCCCCUCUCGGGGGCCCGCCGGAGGUACACCAAACUCUUGAAUUUACAUGGCCUCUCUGAGUCUUCUGUACUGAAUAAGUCAAAACUUUCAACAACGGAUCUCUUGGUUCUGGCAUCGAUGAAGAACGCAGCGAAAUGCGAUAAGUAAUGUGAAUUGCAGAAUUCAGUGAAUCAUCGAAUCUUUGAACGCACAUUGCGCCCGCCAGUAUUCUGGCGGGCAUGCCUGUCCGAGCGUCAUUUCAACCAUCAAGCCCCCGGCUUGUGUUGGGGACCUGCGGCACACCCGCAGGCCCUGAAAACCAGUGGCGGGCUCGCUGUCCACACCGAGCGUAGUAGCAUAUCUUUGUCUCGCUCAGGGCGUGCGGCGGGUUCCGGCCGUGAAACCCACCUUCUCGAAGGUACCCAAAGGUUGACCUCGGAUCAGGUAGGAAGACCCGCUGAACUUAAG
rnacentral:rRNA from 1 species